CCUACGGGUGGCAGCAGUGGGGAAUAUUGGACAAUGGGGGGAACCCUGAUCCAGCGACGCCGCGUGAGUGAAGAAGUAUUUCGGUAUGUAAAGCUCUAUUAGCAGGGAAGAAAGAAAUGACGGUACCUGACUAAGAAGCCCCGGCUAACUACGUGCCAGCAGCCGCGGUAAUACGUAGGGGGCAAGCGUUAUCCGGAUUUACUGGGUGUAAAGGGAGCGUAGGCGGUUACGCAAGUCUGGAGUGAAAGGCAGGGGCCCAACCCCCGGACUGCUUUGGAAACUGUAUAACUGGAGUGCAGGAGAGGUAAGUGGAAUUCCUAGUGUAGCGGUGAAAUGCGUAGAUAUUAGGAGGAACACCAGUGGCGAAGGCGGGUUGCUAGACUGUAACUGACACUGAGGCACGAAAGCGUGGGGAGCAAACAGGAUUAGAUACCCUUGUAGUC
rnacentral:rRNA from 1 species